rnacentral:lncRNA from 1 species
AAGGUCUACGCUAAAAACAGGAAAUUGGCUUGCCAGGGUUCUUGGCCAAUCUGGUCCAGGCACUUGGAUGUCAUCAUACCCAAAUAUAUAGGCAUUUAGGUUUUUGCCUUCUUAUGUUCCUUCACAAAGGACCUUUUCAAGAUGACUUGGUUCCACUCCACCCUGAGGUCUUCACCAGUAAGAUGGCAAGCCAUUUGCAAGGCUGGAACAGGAAGCCUACGGAAGCGGGCAGGCAGAGGUCAGCAGCAGCUAGGACGAGAACUGCUGCUCUUUCUGCCUCUUCUGAAAGAUCAGGUCUUUACUGCAAAAUUAUUCAACAGUCUCACAGCAGCACGCCAUUCAAGACAUUUCAAAGCACCAGAGGCCCACUCACUAAAACAGUUUAUUUCAUAAAAGCACAAUUUAAAAACAGUGUGGGCUCCUACCCACUCAAGCACAUGGGGAAAUUAGGGCUCUGUCCAAGCUGAGUUUUUGGUUUGGCCAGAAUGCUGGCGCGAUUUUCUUAUUUGAAUUCAAAAUGGGUCAUAAAGCAGUGGAGACAACUCACAACAUCAACAUCUCAUUUGGCAAACAAACUGCUAAUGAACACACAGCACAGUGGUGGCUCAAGAAGUUUUGCAAAGGAGAUGAGAGCCUUGAAGAUGAGGAGCAUAGAGGCAGCCAUCGAAGUUGACAACGACCAAGUGAGAGCAAUCAUCGAAGCUGAUCCCCUUACACUACAUGAGAACUGCUGAAGAACUCUACAUCAACCAUUCUAUAGUCAUUCGGCAUUUGAAGGAAACUGGAGAGGUGAAAAAGCUGGAUCAGUGGGUGCCUCAUGAGCUGACUGAAAAUCAAAAAAAUCCUCAUUCAUUUUGAAGUGUCAUCUUCUCUUAUUCUAUGCAACAACAAUGAACUAUAUCUUGAUUGGAUUGUGAUGUGUGAUAAAAAGUGGAUUUUAUAUGACAACUGGAGAUGACCAGCUCAGUGGUUGUACCAAGAAGCAGCUCCAAAGCCCCUCCCAAAACCAAACUUGCACCAAAAAAGGUCAUGGUCGCUGUUGGGUGGUCUGCUGUUGGCCUGAUCCACUACAGCUUUCUGAAUCCCAGUGAAAUCAUUACAUCUGAGAAGUAUGCUCAGCAAAUCAAUGAGAUGCACUGAAAACUGCAAUGCCUGCAGCUGGCAUUGGUCAACAGAAAAGAUUCCAAUUCUCCGUGACAAUGCCCAACCGCACGUGGCACGACCAACACUUCAAAAGUUGGACGACCUGGGCUAUGAAGUUUUGCCGCAUCCGCCAUAUUUGCCUGACCGCUCACCAACCGACUACA